UGUGUGUGUGUGUGUGUGUGCGCGUGCGUGAGAGGAUAAACUUUAACCUUCCCACUAGUUUAUUCUUUUACUUUAGUGUUUUCUUAGUUAGAAAACCACUAUUAACAUUAAAUAAAACGUCUAAAUAUUGUGCAGUAAGAAUUUUGUCUUUUUUAUUUAUUCCACAAAUGAAAAUUCAGGUUGUAAAAUAAAUUGAAAUUUUAAAAAUUAAUGUAGAAAUGCAUUCAGAGGAGCCUAGUAGUAAUUUUCUGUGUUGGAUUUUUGAAGAAGAAGAAAAAAAAAAAACCCUCCUCACUUCACCAAGAGUAAUUUCUUUUAGCUAAGUGUUUCUCAACCUUCCUAACACUGCAACCCUUUAAUACAGUUCCUCAUGUUGUGGUGACCCCCAACCAUCACAUUAUUUUGCUGAUAUUUCAUAACUGUAAUUUUGCUACUAUUACUUGGACAUAUUGGUGUUUUCUGAUGGGGGUCAUGUAGCCCCAGAAGAGGUUGCAACCCACAGGUCGAGAGCUGCCAUUUCAGCACAGAAGCACCUCUCCCCCAGUAAAAUGUGUCUGGACUGUUUCAUAAAGUCUCUUCUCAUGAUCUUUUUUGGUCUCUACAUUCCCUACUGUGUUUUUUAGAGAUUGCAGGCUGCUCUGAGUGAGGUGACCAGGCUGUGUCUCUGUGUCUGAGAUUUGUGAAGAUGGGAGGGUCUCCCCUAACCGAUUCUGGAAUCUAAAGCAGGUCGUAUUGCUUGGGGCUGGUGAUUUUUCUUCAUUACAUUUUUCAUUUUUCCUCAAGCUCUGACUUUUUUAGAAGCUACAGUGAGUAGAAGACACAGCACCUAUCAGGGGACUUAGGUUAAUUUGAAUUAGUAAUUAUGGUGAAGUUAUUUUUAUAGAGAUGUCAGAUUUGCUUUGACUCCAGAAACAAUUUAAGUAUUUUGAAACUACAUUAUAAACUGUAGUUUUUCCUCAAUUGAACAUAGAGACACGGGGCCUGCCUUAAACAUACAUUUUUAAAAGUUUCUUCAAGUAUUUUCCAGAGUGGGGAAAUGCAGGGAAUAAUACCCAUGUGCACUCUCCUGCGCUUGCACGAGGAACCAGCACACUGCACGUAUGUAAUUUGCAUGAUAUGUAUUGCUUAGAUUAACAGUAAAACUGACUUCUAAUUUCUUUGAGGUGCAAAUGACAAUGUUGGUUUUCUAAAGUUGAAAGUGCCCAGGCGUGUUUCAGCUGCUGGUGUAGUUAUUUGAGGCGAGCUUUAACUCUGCUCCUGGUUCCUUUGCAUUCUGGUGAAGCCAAGCAGCGCUCACUCAGUGUUCUUCAUUCAGUGCAACAGAGACGGAGUGGACCUCACACUGCGUUGGCUCUGUGCAGGGACACGGGAAACAGAAGUUUCGGCAGGGUGCGCAGCAGUGUAGGUUGACUUUCUGUAAAGAAAGCGUUUGAGUGUAGAGCAGUGUUGUGGGCCGGACACAGGGGAAGGAGGCGGCUUUAAAGCACUUUGUCUUUGGAGCAUCUCUAUUGAGAUGCGCUCCAUCUUAUCACAGAUUUCUUGACAUAUUUAUAUUGGAACUUGUAUACUGUCAUGCAUUUUGCUCCUAAUGAAAUACAAUUUACUCAAAACUGUUAAAAAGUUGUGAUGUGCAGUGAGCUGAUUCUUGAUUCACCAGUUUUAAAGGUAUUCUGUGAUCCACAGACAGACAGACCUUUGCCGGAAAAACCAACAAACAAAAACCCCACAGAAGAAAUGGCAGUAGAGAUGAGCUGGCUCCUUGUGGUGUAAAUCUAACAUUAUAACAGCCUUCAGUGAACUCAUGUAGUACCUUUGUACUUUCAGAAAUGCUUCAUUUACCCCUAAAGAUAUUUAAUGUGAAUUAAUUCAGUUCAUACUACUAUACCUCUGCUUAGCAAAGGACUUAUAGUGCUGGUAGGAAGCUGUAUACUGAGUGCACUGUGUGGAAAGUGAAGAGUUGGCCCAUGUGACAGCUGGCAGCUCUGACAGUGGUGGUGCAUGCUCUCCGUCCUUGUCCAGAGCCUCAUGGCUACCUGCUGUCCACCAGUAGUGUUUCUCCACAGCUACUUGCAGCAGCUUCUAGUCAGUGUAUUAUUUUGUAAUUUUUCAAAGAAAUCUUUACACAGAGUUUAAAGAUGUUGGGUCCACACACGGGUAGGGAAAAUGCUCUCCAUUUAAAAUCAUGUCUGCCAGUCAGCAGCACAUGAGAACUGUGGGAGUGUCUGUUGGGAUUGGAAGCGGCGUACUCAAGUCAAGUGCGCUUGGCUCGUCAGCACAAGCCCUGUAGGCACCCCUUGUUUACUGUGCGCCUGCUCUGCACACACAGGCGCGGUGCUGCUCACUCCUGCCUCUCUAUUUAUUUAUUUUGACCAUGUGUACAUUCCUUUCAUAGAGUUAGAACUGCGGUUCUGCAGGCUCCUAUUGCAGUCUGUUGUAUGGUUUGGAUACUAUUUAAUGCCAGGUUUAUAUGUUGCUGGAUUUGCUGCCUUCAGUUACUUGUGCUGUGUUCCAAGCAAUCUGCAUUCUUGUUCACUUAAUGAAUAUUAAGUAGAAGUAACUUUGAAUAAUUGUGGCCAUUUAUUUGAGUUUGCUCAUUUAGUGCACUAAGGUCUUAUACUAUAUAACAGUAACUCCUCUUUUUGCUCUUGAGUAAUUUAAUGUUCAUUUACCAAACUUGGAAUUUCAAGAUGCACUAAAGUUUUAUUUAGCGGUGGCUCAAAAAAUGUUUCAGAACUUACUUUUGUAAUAAUUUGCAGUUAAUUGUUCUUUUGUCUUUACUCUUGUUCAAGCCUGUGAUCUUUCCUCUCCCAGCCAAGAAUUAUUC
rnacentral:lncRNA from 1 species